rnacentral:rRNA from 1 species
AAAUUGAAGAGUUUGAUCAUGGCUCAGAUUGAACGCUGGCGGCAGGCCUAACACAUGCAAGUCGAACGGUAACAGGAAGCAGCUUGCUGCUUUGCUGACGAGUGGCGGACGGGUGAGUAAUGUCUGGGAAACUGCCUGAUGGAGGGGGAUAACUACUGGAAACGGUGGCUAAUACCGCAUAAUGUCGCAAGACCAAAGAGGGGGACCUUCGGGCCUCUUGCCAUCAGA